GUCAAUAACAAUAGAAAAAUCUAUAUACAGUGUGUGCAAAUGGAGUAAGGAGCCAGCGCUUUCAGCCAGCUAGGAACUGAAGACUCAACUGAUGGGGAUGCCGUGUCGUCGAACGUUGAAAGUGAUGCUAUUCCAUCGAGUUUACCCUUCACUUCAAAGAAGAAGGCAUCUGAUCAGCCAACAUCAGCGCAGCAGAAGAGAGGGCAAGCUGCGUUAAGAGUCCAAUCCCAUCAACAUUUGAAGAGGCUUCAAGAUCAAGCUCAGCACCAGGAACUAGUGUAUGUCACCUACAAUCUACUAAAUCUUUCCAUGACGAGCAAAUAAAUAUACUGGAGCCAGGCAUAAACAUGGUCCGUGUCUUGUCAUAGUUGGUGUGUUUACAAGUAGGCUAUAACAUCGUCAAAAUCUGCUAAACCAUUACCAACACAAUAAGAGGUUCACCAGCUGAAGAACAUUCUGGAACCUGCCUGGAACAUUCAACCAACACAACAUCCAUAUUCAGUUAGACUGAUGUUGUAGUAUAAUAUGGAAUGCCUAAUAUGCUCACAACUGAAUUGUGAUAUAGAUAUUUCUAGCUGUUGUAUGUAUAUAAUGGUGUUUUAUAGAUAUAUUUUUACAAGUGUACUGACAAGUGACAAAAUGAUUCCAGGUGCAUCGGAAACUAAUGAAGUGUUGACUUCAAAUUCAAAUAAAAUGUUAUUUGUCACAUGUGCCGAAUACA